rnacentral:rRNA from 1 species
CGUUGGAACCACCUGAUCCCUUCCCGAACUCAGAAGUGAAACGACGCAUCGCCGAUGGUAGUGUGGGGUCUCCCCAUGUGAGAGUAGGUCAUCGUCAAGU